CCUCUUGGUAGAGGCGCGGUGCUUAAGAGUAACAGGAAGUAGGGUGACGCCCGAGAUCUCCUGUGAAAGGAAACACCGCCGAAGCCGUUCAAGCGAGUCAGCGCCAUCGGCUGGUGUGUCGUUUAAGAGACGCCACACUGUCACGGUGUAUUCUGCAGGCAAUUGUCUGCGGUACACAUGCCAUUAGGUGUAAUCCGUCAUCGUCUGCUUGUCGCGAUGAGAGCUGAUGGAUGCCGGGUCCGUGGAGUGCUACCGCUGUG
rnacentral:ncRNA from 2 species